AUCCAAAGUAAGUAGCAUUAUCAUUCUAUUUUUGUUUUGACCGAAACAAACCAAAACAGUUCACUACAGUCUGUAUAUAAUAGCACCAAUCUUCUUCCCUCAACCUACCACACCAUCCCAAUUCCCAACAAUGUCUCCUUCACCAUCCCAUUUCUUCAUCACAGUCCUCAUCAUCCUCUUCAAUUUCCACCACUCCUCUUCAUUCUCUCUCUCAGUAGAAAACCCUGACCAAAACUUCAUACUCUCACCCAAACGCACAUUCACCGCAGGCUUCUACCCCGUAGGUGACAAUGCUUAUUCAUUCGCCAUUUGGUUCACGCAAAAACACAAACACCUUAACAGCAACAACAACAACUACAACGCCACCGUUGUUUGGAUGGCAAACCGUGACCAACCAGUAAACGGAAAACGCUCAACGCUUUCUAUUCUCAAAACCGGCAACCUCGUCUUAACGGAUGCAGCUCAAUCUAAUAUUUGGUCUACAGACACUACCUCAUCAAAACCACUUCAAUUACUCUUACAUGACACCGGUAACCUCGUUCUUCAAGAACUAAACACAAACGGUUCCAUCAAUAGCAAUAGCAAUAGCACUCUAUGGCAAAGCUUCGAUUUCCCAACAGAUACACUUCUCCCAGACCAACCCCUCACCAGAUUCACCAAACUCGUUUCAUCUCGAAGCGAAACAAAUCACUCAUCUGGUUUCUACAAACUCUUUUUCGACAACGACAACGUUCUUCGUCUUCUAUACGAAGGUCCAAGAGUUUCAAGUGUUUUUUGGCCGGAUCCUUGGGUUACUAGCAACGGUGCUGCUGGUAGUGGUAGCAGAUCAACUUUCAACAGUAGCAGAAUCGCUUCUUUGGAUUCAUUUGGUAGGUUUAGUUCCUCUGAUAAUUUCGUUUUCAAUGCUUCUGAUUAUGGAACAUUGUUGCAACGUAGACUUACACUUGACCAUGAUGGGAAUGUUCGCAUUUAUAGUAGAAUAGACGAGGAACAAAGUUGGUUUGUUUCUGGUCAAUUUAAACAACAACCUUGUUUCGUUCAUGGGAUUUGUGGACCGAAUAGUACUUGUAGUAAUGAUCCGGUGAAUGGUAGAAAGUGUUCUUGUUUACCUGGUUAUGUUUGGAUUAAUGAUCAAGAUAAUUAUCAAGGUUGCAGACCUAAUUUUCAGCUUUCUUGCAGUAACAAGACUAGUGAGUCAAGGUUUUUGGCUUUACCUCAUGUUGAUUUUUAUGGAUAUGAUUAUGGUUUCUUUGUGAAUAAAACUUACAAAGAAUGUGAGGAUCUGUGUUUGCAAUUCUGUGGUUGUGCUGGAUUUCAGUAUACUUUUAACGCUGAAUAUGGUGGUAAUUAUUGGUGUUAUCCGAAGAUUCAGUUACUUAAUGGCCAUCAUUCACAGAGUUUUCUAGGAUCAUUCUACUUGAAAUUGCCAAAAAAUAGUGAUUUUGUUGAUCAGAUGAAGAUUCAACAAAAUGGGAUGGGAAUGGUUUGUUCAACAAAAGGAGUAGUAGAGCUUGAGCGAGAAUACAUAAAAGAGAAAGAAAAUGGUUCCUUGAAGUUCAUGCUUUGGUUUGCUGGUGCUUUAGGUGGAGUUGAGCUCUUGGGAUUUUUUCUGGUGUGGUUUUUCUUGUUUAGAAGUAGCAGAAACUCUGAUGAAGACAAUAAUGGGUAUAUUCUAGCAGCAGGGUUUAGGAAAUUUAGUUUCUCUGAAUUGAAACAAGCUACAAAAGGUUUUAGUCAAGAGAUUGGAAGAGGUGCUGGAGGAAGCGUCUAUCAGGCUGUUUUAUCUGAUAAUCGAGUCGCUGCGAUAAAGCGUCUGCAUGAAGCAAAUAACGGAGAGAGUGAGAGUGAGUUUCUUGCUGAGGUUAGCAUCAUUGGAAGGCUUAACCACAUGAAUUUGAUUGGAAUGUGGGGUUAUUGUGCAGAGGGAAAGCAUAGGUUGUUGGUUUAUGAGUACAUGGAAAAGGGUACUUUAGCUGAUAAUCUCUCAUCAAAUGAACUUGAUUGGGGUAAAAGGUAUAACAUUGCUAUGGGAACUGCAAAGGGUCUUGCUUAUUUACAUGAGGAGUGUUUGGAGUGGAUUUUGCAUUGUGAUAUAAAGCCACAAAACAUUCUUAUUGACUCUGAUUACCAACCUAAGGUAGCAGAUUUUGGUUUGUCUAAGCUAUUGAAUAGGGAUGACCUUGAUAAUUCAAAUUUCUCAAGGAUAAGAGGGACAAGAGGUUACAUGGCACCAGAGUGGGUUUUCAACUUGCAAAUCACAUCUAAGGUUGAUGUUUAUAGCUAUGGAGUUGUGGUGUUGGAAAUGAUUACUGGAAAGAGUCCAACAACUGGUAUACAGAUCAAAGAAGAGUUGUGUCAUGAGAGGUUGGUAACAUGGGUCAGGGAGAAAAGGAGAAAUGGAUUAGAAGUUGGUUGUUGGGUAGAACAAAUUGUUGAUCCUAAAUUAGGAUCAAAUUAUGAUGUUAAGAAAAUGGAGACUUUGGCAAAUGUUGCUUUGGAUUGUGUAGCAGAUGAUAAAGAUGUUAGACCCACCAUGAGUCAAGUUGUUGAGAGACUUCUAAGUCAUGAGCAUAAUUAUUGAUAGUAUGCCCAAUAAAUAGCCAUAUCUCAUGGCUAUUAAUUACUCCACUGUUCUACUUCUUAUGUUUCCAUUAUUCUCUACAUGUAACUUGAUUCAAGAACCUAUAGGAUCGUCCAAGGAGAUGUGAAAUUUAGUGACUGUUAUAGGAAGAUCCUGGGAAUGACAAUUUCAGGGAUGGCUGAUGGCUUUGUCAUCUCCCUAAGGUCCCUUGUCGUCCGAAACUCCGGAAACAUUGCACCAUUAUUGCAUGCUCGACAUCUUCAUUUUCAGAGAAUGUUUAAGACCGGGUUGGGAUUUCAACUACUGAAAAUGGCACUGCAGUGCAGUCUUACUGCGCAGCAAUUUGGCGGGAUGGGUGGCGACGAUGCAGUGGGUGGUGAUUUUGAUGACGGUGAUGAUGAAGGUAAGUAUGCUGUACAAACUGUGUGAUGCAGCAAUGCAUGAUUAAGUAAUAGUACAAGAUUUUACGGUGAUAAUGCAUCAGAAUUAAACUACAUAUAAAAAAAAUACAAUAUUGAAAGGGAUGUUAAUCCUGAGUAGAAUGAAGAUCUUACUCUUUCUGUCUUAGAUCCUAAUCAGAUCGUUUCAAUUGUAAGUAAGUUAAUUGCGGCGCUGUAUCGGUUACUCUUUCUGUUAUGAUUGAAUUGACUUGAACAUCAAGCUAUUUAGUACAAAAUGUUGUUAAAUAGCGGCGCGCUAUAGUACUUUAGCCCAGCCAAAAUAUGAAAAAAUUGUUGAUUGUCAAACGUGUUUCAAAUUUUAACUUUAUCUUGUGUUUUGUUUUCCAAUAGAUUUCUUCAUUUAAAAUUUCCUUUGAAUGAAUGUGUAAAUAUGAAUAUGAGAGGAGGAUGAAUGAGUACUUAUAGAGGUCUUAAUUCUAUAAAAGUUUGAAAGACAAUGUUGGUUAUGUUAUAAAGCUAUAAUUACAUGAUGAUCAUUUAGAGUUCAUUUGUUGAGAAGCUUGAUGCUCCACUCUAAUAUAUUUACAAAACUCCAAUACUUGGAAGAAAGUAUUGUUCAACUGUUUUCAGAAAGUUGACGACGAGGUUGGAGGAAUCGGUGCAGGUAGUAGCGAGAGUAACGGCGGGGGAUCUGAGUCUAACAUUGAACCUAUUGCUCCUAAGACUGCUGGCUCCACUGCAGUGGUUGCCAUUUUAAGUCAAACACACAUAAUAAUUGCAAACUGCGGGGAUUCACGAGCUGUCUUGUAUCGCGGGAAAGAAGCCAUGGCGUUGUCUGCUGAUCACAAAGUAAGGACUUUCAUCCCUGUUUUGUAAUAUUUUUGAUGGUUUUAUGUCGGAAGAUGAAGUUGUGUCUAAUAAUUAAAGAAGGAAUUCAGCAGCCAACCAUUGUAGUGGUUGGAGAUCAGUCUUUUGGAAAAUCAAAUGUUCUUGAAUCUCUUGCUGGUAUCAGCUUGCCCCGUGGCCAAGGAAUCUGCACUAGGGUUCCUUUGGUUAUGCGCCUUCAGAAUCACCCACUUCCACAACCAGAGCUUAUAUUGGAGUAUUAUGGCAAGAAUGUUUCAACUGAUGAGACUAAUGUCUCAUGCAAUUAAUACUGCUUCUGAAGAGCUUACUGGGACAGCCAAAGGCAUUUCUAACACACCACUGACUUUGAUUGUGAACAAGAAUGGUGUUCCUGAUCUUACCAUGGUUGACCUUUCUGGAAUAACUCGUGUGCCGGUUCAUGGUCAACCGGAUAACAUCUAAGAUCAGAUAAAGGAUAUCGUCAUGGAUAAUAUAACUCCUGAAGAGAGUAUUAUCUUAAAUGUUCUCUCUGCAACUGUUGAUUUUACAACUUGUGAGUCUAUUAGGAUGUCACAAACUGUUGAUAAAACUGGUCUGAGAACUUUAGUUGUUGUCACAAAGGCUGAUAAGUCUCCAGAAGGUUUGUUAGAGAAAGUAACUGCUGAUGACGUGAAUAUAGGUCUUGGUUAUGUUUGUGUGAGAAAUAGGAUUGGAUAGGAGUCAUACGAAGAGGCCAGAGAAGAAGAACUGAAGCUGUUUGAGUCGAAUUUACUUCUUUUGAAAAUUGAUAAAUUUAUUGUUGGUAUUCCUAUUCUGGAGAGGCAACCAGGCCAAUGAUAUAAGAUAUUCCCCCACACAGGUAUAAUUACAGCAGCAGUUUGGGCUAUUAUUAUGAUCCAAAUACAGGGAUUUAUUGCUUUGCAGAAUCAGGGAAAUGGUAUUGUGUAUUGAUGAUUCGUCUUAGUGCAUGUCAUGUAUCAUUUUUUUGUGUUUGUAGUAUCUUGAUUAACCAUCUGAAACAUGCCUUUAGAUGUGAAUGCUUUGCUCUUUUGUUUAAAUCCUAAUCCUAUUCUGGUUAUAGAUAUUUCUUAUACUUGUAUUUGGACUGUUUUCUUGCUGGGACUCAGAUUUUGAAAUCAUGUAUGGGUUUACAUGUAUGAAAUUUGCUUUGGUUUUGUCUGUAUUACUACUUUGAUCCAAUUUUCAAUUUCAUGCAUAUCACUGUUUCUUCUUACUUAAUGCUGUCUUUCUGUUAUAGGACGAUGGACAUCAACCAGCAUGGUCUUAAUAUUGAAGCAUAAAAACUUAUAAAUAUAGUGUUCAUGUUUCUAUAACAAUUAGAAAAUUUAAAUUAUUAUUUUUUAUUUAAAGGAUAAAAUAGUUAGUUUAGGAGAAAUAUAAGGAUGACACGUGAAUCUUUCUAGGUGUUAGCUAAAUAAUUGGUUUGUUAGUUUUCUUCUGACUCUAUAUAUAAAGACAAAGGAUCUCACAUACUCAUUUACCUAAUUAAAACUCAUAUUCUCGCUUCCCUCUCUACCUUUUGAAUUUUGGUUUCAGCCUUCAAUAUGAGCAGUUCAAGAAAUGAUCCUAUGUUUGGUCAUGCAAUGGUGUUUGUAACGAAAGCAAAAUCGGUUGUUACCACAGAAAUGUAUAAGGAAUUUUUAACACUCCUAUAUAAUUACC